UUACGGUUUUGAUUUGACUUACCUCUGUUUCCCCGUUCUUCUAGGAACAUCACUGAGAUUUCCUUUGGGGAACUAUUCUGUUUCAGAGAUGGGCACAUCUAGGCCUAGCCAAUUAGUAUAUAAUCUCUCUCUUAAGUGAUAGUGAUUAAUUGAGGGUGGGCAUGUGAUCAGCCCGUCCAAGGAGACUCAAUCCUGGAUUUAUUAGAGCUCUAAGAAAUCUCUGCUGGGUUGGUAAGCAGAAAAUAUUUCAGUCUGUUCUAGUCUUCUAUAUAUUGUACAUUGUUUCUGACCAUUUAUAAAAAGGCUUGCAUUAACAAAUGGUGUAGAAUCCCUAUUGCCCAAAGAAGUCCAAGGUGGAGAACAUAUGAUGAUGUAGACCAGUGUGAACAUAAAGCCAUCUUGCCCAAUGAAAUGAGAUCACGAGAUAAGAGCCCAGAAUAAAUGCUCUUGAGAAGAGAGAUGCCAAAUACCAUCAAAAAGUCAAAUUUCUUAAAUAUUUUGCUCUUCUUUCAAAUGGUAUCCUGGGGCAGACCCAACAGCUGAAGUAAGGGCCUUGUCUUCUUUUUGUUCAUGGGCUCAUUAUCUAAACUAAGGACUUUAAUAAGAAAAACAAUUGGAAUAAUUGAAAAACUAGGGACUUUAAUAAGAAAAACAAGCUAUUUUGGAAAACCAGUAAUCUGUAGCUAGAUGUCUCUAGAGAGCCUUAGAAAGUAAACAGGCUCUGGCUGUCUAUCUAAAACAACUGGUCCUGAGAUAAAAACAAGGCCCAAUAUCUUCUGUUAAGAACUGGAAGUCUUUGGUAAAGAAACUAGAGAAAUUGCAAGCAAAAAGAUCACUGAGCUAAUAAUUGCCCAGUGCUGGCUAAGAAGCUGAAGGACAACCAUCUGAAGUCCAAUGAUGCCACCCUGGGGGAGACAUUACUCCACAAGUCCGUGUCUUCCAUCUAAACUCCCAAGUGGAACAGAACAGUACUUGAUAUUACCGUUACCUACAAUUAAUUCUACUACUCUGAACAUCAGAUCCUUCAGACCCAAAUUUUACAGUUGUCUAAGAAGCAAACAGAUAAGCAAAAUGACUUCUAGUGUGAGAGAGUAUUAUCUUAUAAAUGACUUUAUGACAAAAGAUGGUAAUAAAAGGUAAAACUGAAAAUGUAUAGUAAUUAUAGAAGUUUGAGAGGCAAUGAACUUUGCUUUCCUUUACUAAAACCACUCUGAAAAAUGAGACCUUGGAACAAUUGUGAGUCCUUUCCUAAGUCUCAACCUGUAUCUGAUUCUUUGGGAUCACUGUCAGAGAAACAGUCCUUUUUCCUUCAGGACACAGAGAUUUAAUAGGUAGGAUCUACUUCCAGAUAAAAUAUGCUGUAGCCCAUACAUGUGAUCAGAUUAAAGCUGCUAUGACAUUAGGAUAUUUAUGGUAGUCUCCAGAAAUACCUCAAAGAAUUGGAGCACCUGGCUGGCUCAGUUGGUACAGCGUGUGACUCUUGGGGUUGUAGAUUCAAACCCCAUGUUGGGUGCAGAGAUUAAAAAUAAACUCUUAAAAAAAAAUUCAAAAAAUCACCAAAGACAUUUAUAUGUGGAAUCUUAAACAAUCAAACUCUUAGAAGCAGGGAGCAGAAAAGUGGUUGGCAAUGACUGAAGGGUUGGGGAAAUAGAAGUUGUUAAAGGAUACUUUCAAUUACAGGAUGAGUAAGGUUUGAGGAUCAAAUGUAUAAUAUGAUGACUAGAGUUAACACUGUAUUAUAUAAUUGAUAUUUGCUGAGAAUAAAAAUGAAAUGUCCUCAUCAAAAAUUAAGUAUGUGAGGUGACAGAUGGAAUAAUUUCACAAUGUGUAUCGAAUCAUUAUGAUGCUCACCCUCAAUAACUUACAGUUUUGUCAAUUAUACCUUAAUAAAGCUGACCAAAACAAACAGCUAUAGUGUCAGAAUCCCCAAGGGCAAAUGACUCCAUAGACAGUUUACCUGGACCAAAGUCACAGUCCAGAUGGGUUCUUCCUAGAUUUUCACAAAUCACUUUUUGUACUCACAAGAAAAGGUUAGGUCAUGCUCUAUGGGUGUUAACAACACAGCACAAUUAAUAGAACCAUCGCUUAUCCCUUAAUUCAGGAGCCACAGCUCAGUCUCCUUGCUUUAGAACAACUGCAGUCAUCAAAAAAUUAAUCAAAACAUCUUCAGAUCUUGUAUUGGAAUCCCCUUUAAAUCCAAUGUUCCUACAUGUAGUCAGUCUCUACUGCUAAAGGAAACCAUCAGUUUUCUACUAGUUAAUAAUUAUGAAUUCUUUUCAAUUUUUCUAUUACCAUCCAUUGUUUUAAUACUCUUUGAACAUAUAGUUAUGGUAACUGUUUUCAUGUCCUUGUUUGUCACUUUUUUUUUUUUAAUGUUUAUGAGAGAGAGAGAACGAGAACAGAGAAGGGAGGGGCAGAGACAGAGGGAGACACAGAAUCUGAAGCAGGCUCCAGGCUCUGAGAUGUCAGCAGACCCCGACGGAGGGCUGGAACUGAUGAACGAACAGACUGGCUGGAUGCCACGUCGUGCUUGUUACCUUGGUCCUGCUGGAAAGAAAACAGACCCGACAUUGCAAAACUAACUGCAUAGCUGAGGCCCUGUUUUGUCUUUACGAAUAUAAUUUAUUCAUCAAGUUUAAAGAAAUCUACAGAUUAGUGGGGAGAGUAGCUGGAUGAAGAGAGAACUUCUGUAAUUAGAAAUUUGAAGAGGGGCACCUGGGUGGCUCAGUCGGUUAAGUGUCCGACUUGAUUGCGGCUCAGGUCAUGAUCUCACGGUUUGUGAGUAUGAGCCCUGAAGUGGGCCCCAUGCUGAAGAAAAAGAAAUCUGAGAAGGAACAAAUCCAAAAUUGCUUACGACAGCCAUGUCCAAAUACCCUACCUCUUCCAUCCACCCGUCUUCUCGGGGAAGCCUCUGCAACCGGUUUCUCGUCAGCUCAAGCUGCAGGCCAUCGAACCUGCACUUAAACCAGCGAUGAGCUUCUUCCAGAUGACAGAGAUUUCUGAAUGCAGAGCUGAGGGAUGCCUGCAAGCCUGUUGCUUUUUCAUGCAUUUGUUCCUAUUUCUUGGGCGUGACCUAAGGCAAGAGAACCCCGGGGAAAAAUCAGAAUGACGGGAUAAGAUAGCGCGGCAAGUGAACGUGGUAGUGCAAACCAUGGUUGGGACUUGUGAGUUCUGUUCUCCAAGACUAAAUACUUCUCCAAAGUCCCUACACUAGAUUUUUCUGUUGUGCUUUAUGAGAGUAAACUGAAUUAGUAAAAGACGGAACCAGCUUAGCGUAAGUUGCAUCCUCUUUAUUUCCUUUAUCAUCAAAAUAUUUUAGACUUCAGGUCCUAAGCACAAACUUCCAAAUCACCUUUGUUAGAUGGACUUAAAUGGUCCCACUAGUCGUCUGCCUUUGAAGAUGAUCUGGACUCCGUAUUCAUUUAAUUGACAAAUAUCUACUGUGUGCCUGGCACUUUUAUGUGUGUUUGGGAUACUAUGGUAUUUUAAGGUAGGCCAACAGGCUUUUCUGUGGUAUAAUGGUUGCUUCAAAACAGCUCCAGAACAUAUCCUCUAGAAUAAAAAGCAAAAUGAC